rnacentral:lncRNA from 1 species
GGUCAACAGGUCAAAGGUCAAGGUCAUGUCCCAAAUAGCGGAUUAUGUUUUUUUGACCUUAUUGAAAGGGUUUUUAGUGUGUAAUAAAGCUUUUCAAUACAUUCUACGUCUAUUGGAACAUGUAUUUUACAUUACAAAAGGAAAGACCUCUCAAUUGUUCAAGAACAAUUGACAGUUUAAUUAAGGUCUUUCCUUUUACUAAAGGGAAAGACCUUACUGUAUUUCUUCCGUUUAUUA